rnacentral:lncRNA from 1 species
GUCGAACACCUCUUGGGAACUUGUGUGUGCAAACUAUGCCUAGACAAAGUGGGCAUGUGGCUGGAAAAAUUCCAGAAUUUUGAACUCUGAAAAUUUCACUAAGUCUGGAAUGCUGAAAACAUUUUCUUCCCCUGUAGAUAAGGUUGUGCAGGUCAGUAUGUUGAGAACUGGACUUAGUUCAGUGCUAGUUCUUUGAACCUGGUAUGUUUGUGCAGCUUCCUGUCAAUUUUCAAGUCAUUUGGAGUCCAGUAGCUUGUGUUUUGAUUGCUGUCAAAAGGCUUCAGAACAGAAACAGAAACUCAGGUGCAGAAAUUUUCACUAAGUCCCUGAGAACUGAUGGUUUUGGGAAAGUUUGUGGCCUUGUAUCUUCUAGAGUUUAAUUCCUUUUGCUGUGAUUCUUGCUGGAGAUGGUAGUGUUCUUGGUUGGAAACAUCCACAUAUAUUAUUUGCCAUGUUUGAAGACCUGUAGCUAUGUUGCAUGUUGCUCUCAAACAGCUAAGAUGCAGAAAUUGGCAGAUUGCGUAGUUUUGACAUUUUGUUCAAAGUUUGUGUUUAAUUGUUGUUGGGGUGUUCUACCUUGCUCCAUUUCGUUCAUGUUGGGUUAAUAUAUGUCUUGGCAACCUGGAAACACCAGAUUUGCGCCAAUUGUGUGUGUGGUGAUGAAUCUUUCACGUAGGGCUUCAUAUCGUGUUUCGUUGGUUCCCGUUGAUCCGUAGCUCCGUUUGCAAAGUUCUUUACAUGGUUUUGCACCGUUUUUACGAGAUGCAUCUGUCCAUAUCAUUUCCAUGCAUGUCCAAAUAGUUUAGAGCAAAGUUCUGUCCAGGAACUCGUUGUAGUUUAUCUUGCUUGUGCUAGUGUUAGAAAUAGUGGUGCAUGCUCAACUUUCAUCUCAUGCAUCAUGUGAUUGUUGCAUUUUGUGGUUCUGCUGUUCAUUGGCUGUCAUUCUUGUGUUGGGUAGCACCGGGAGCGGAGACCGAUUACGUGGAGUCAGGAGAGUACGUGCAGGACGAUCCAGAACCAUUCCAAGCUGAGGAUAUCACAGGCAAGAUGACAUGACCUUGAUCCCAUAUCUAGACUUGUUAUGUUAGUUUCGAUUCCACGUCAUAUUGCUCGCUGCCUACCUCUGAAAAAUAUAUUGCCUCUUCAUAUGCCAUGAGCCCAAAC